rnacentral:rRNA from 1 species
GACGAACGCUGGCGGCGCGCUUAACACAUGCAAGUCGAACGUGAAGCCCGGGCUUGCCCGGGUGGAAAGUGGCGAACGGGUGCGUAACACGUGAGCAACCUGCCCCGAAGACCGGGAUAACAGCGGGAAACCGCUGCUAAUACCGGAUGCCCUCAUCAUGUCGCAUGGCGAGAUGAGGAAAUGGAUUCCGCUUCGGGAUGGGCUCGCGGCCUAUCAGCUUGNGGUGAGGUAACGGCUCACCAAGGCAACGACGGGUAGCUGGUCUGAGAGGACGACCAGUCACACUGGAACUGAGACACGGUCCAGACACCUACGGGUGGCAGCAGUCGAGAAUUUUUCUCAAUGGGGGCAACCCUGAAGGAGCGACGCCGCGUGGAGGAUGAAGGCUUUCGGGUGUAAACUCCUGUCAUUUGGAACAAGCUGCAUCGGUUAACUGCCGAUGCAUUGAUAGUACAGAAGAGGAAGAGACGGCUAACUCUGU